CCUACGGGUGGCAGCAGUGGGGAAUAUUGGACAAUGGGGGGAACCCUGAUCCAGCGACGCCGCGUGAGUGAAGAAGUAUUUCGGUAUGUACAGCUCUAUCAGCAGGGAAGAAAAUGACGGUACCUGACUAAGAAGCCCCGGCUAACUACGUGCCAGCAGCCGCGGUAAUACGUAGGGGGCAAGCGUUAUCCGGAUUUACUGGGUGUAAAGGGAGCGUAGACGGCGGGGCAAGCCAGAUGUGAAAGCCUGGGGCUCAACCCCGGGACUGCAUUUGGAACUGUGCUGCUAGAGUGUCGGAGAGGCAGGCGGAAUUCCUAGUGUAGCGGUGAAAUGCGUAGAUAUUAGGAGGAACACCAGUGGCGAAGGCGGACUGCUGGACGAUGACUGACGUUGAGGCUCGAAAGCGUGGGGAGCAAACUGGAUUAGAUACCCCUGUAGUC
rnacentral:rRNA from 1 species